rnacentral:rRNA from 1 species
GUAGUCUCGCACAGAUGCAUAUCAAUAAGCGGAGGAAAAGAAACUAACAAGGAUUCCCCUAGUAACGGCGAGUGAAGCGGGAAGAGCUCAAAUUUGAAAUCUUAAAGGGUUUCCCUUUACGAAUUGUAGUUUAAAGAAGUGUUUUCUGUUGAGGUUUUGGUAAAAGUUCUUUGGAAUAGGACAUCAUAGAGAGGUGAGAAUCCCGUAUUUGACCUUUACUUUCAACUUUGUGAUACACUUUCAAAGAGUCGGAUUGUUUGGGAAUGCAGUCCAAAAUGGGUGGUAAAUUUCAUCUAAAGCUAAAUAUUGGCGAGAGACCGAUAGCGAACAAGUACCGUGAGGGAAAGAUGAAAAGAACUUUGAAAAGAGAGUUAAACAGUACGUGAAAUUUGUCAAAAGGGAAGCGUUUGACACCAGUGUUGUUUUUCUGAAAGAUCAAUUAAAGAACUGUUUAUGCUAAGUUGUUUAGACUUUAUCAGGCUAACUGUUUAGUUUUGAGCUUUUCUUUAAUGCACUUUUCAGUUAACAAGUCAACAUCAAUUUCUUUUGCUGUAAAAAAGCUUGAGGAAGGUGGCUUGAGAUUCGUCUUAAGUGUUUAUAGCCUCUUGCCUAUGCAGUCGGAGAGAUUGAGGUCUGCAGCGUAGAUCCUUCGGGGCUAAAUGCAUUUGUGCUAAGUUAUAGCAUUUUAUAGACAACUUGUUGACUAUGAUUUGUCUUGUAGCUUACUCGCUUAUGUUAUUUUACCUACGCUUAGGAUGUUGAACUACUGAGACAUAGA